rnacentral:rRNA from 1 species
UACGGAGGAUGCAAGCGUUAUCCGGAAUGCUUGGGCGUAAAGCGUCCGCAGGUGGCUGUGUAAGUCUGCUGUCAAAGAGCAAAGCUCAACUUUGUAAAGGCAGUGGAAACUACACGGCUAGAGUGCGUUCGGGGCAGAGGGAAUUCCUGGUGUAGCGGUGAAAUGCGUAGAGAUCAGGAAGAACACCGGUGGCGAAGGCGCUCUGCUAGGCCGCAACUGACACUGAGGGACGAAAGCCAGGGGAGCAAACGGG